rnacentral:rRNA from 1 species
AUUGAACGCUAGCGGAAUGCUUUACACAUGCAAGUCGAACGAGUGGCGGACGGGUGAGUAAUAUAUCGGAAUGUGCCCAGUAGAUGGGGCUAACUCCUCGACCAAGUGGCUAAUACCGCAUACUAUUCGAGAGGCCGAUAUCGGAUUAGCUAGUUGGUGGGGUAAAGGCUCACCAAGGCAACGACCCGUAGCUGGUUUGAGAGGACGACCAGGCAAACUUGGACUGAGACACGGCCCAGUCUCCUACGGGAGGCAGCAGUGGGGAAUUUUGGACAAUGGGGGAAACCCUGAUCCAGCCAUCCCGCGUGUAUGAGAAGGCCUUCGGGUUGUAAAGUACUUUUGGCAUAGAAGCGGUAUCUGCAGAAUAAGCACCGGCUAACUACGUGCCAGCAGCCGCGGUAAUAC